rnacentral:rRNA from 1 species
GAUGAACGCUGGCGGCGUGCCUAAUACAUGCAAGUCGAGCGAACAGACGAGGAACUUUCUCCUCUGACGUUAGCGGCGGACGGGUGAGUAACACGUGGAUAACCUACCUAUAAGACUGGGAUAACUUCGGGAAACCGGAGCCAAUACCGGAUAAUAUAUUGAACCACAUGGUUCAAUAGUGAAAGACGGUUUUGCUGCCACUUAUAGAUGGAUCCGCGUCGCAUAAACUACUUGGUAAGGUACCGGCUUACCAAGGCAACGGUGCGUAGCCGACCUGGGAGGGUGGUCGGCCACACUGGACCUGAGACACGGUCCAGAGUCAUACGGGAGGCAGAAGUAGGGAAUAUUCCGCGAUGGGUGAAGGCCUGCUGGAGCAAAGCCGUGAAGGUGAUGAAGGUUCUCGGAUCGUAAAACUCGGUUAUUAGGGACGAACAAAUGUGUAAGUAACGAUGCUCGUUUUGCCGGGACCAACGCAGAGACUAACGGCUAGGCACCCC